rnacentral:rRNA from 1 species
GUCGAGAAUCUUUCACAAUGGGGGCAACCCUGAUGGAGCGACGCCGCGUGGAGGUUAAGGUCUUCGGAUUGUAAACUCCUGUCAUGCGUGAACAAGGUUGCUUGGUUAAUACCUGGGCAAAUUGAUGGUAACGCAAGAGGAAGAGACGGCUAACUCUGUGCCAGCAGCCGCGGUAAUACAGAGGUCUCAAGCGUUGUUCGGAAUCACUGGGCGUAAAGGGUGCGUAGGUGGCGUGGUAAGUCAGAUGUGAAAGCCCGGGGCUCAACCUCGGAACUGCAUCCGAUACUGCCAUGCUAGAGUACUGGAGAGGUGACUAGAAUUCUCGGUGUAGCAGUGAAAUGCGUAGAUAUCGAGAGGAAUACCAAAGGCGUAGGCAGGUCACUGGACAGUUACUGACACUGAGGCACGAAGGCCAGGGGAGCGAACGGGAUUAGAAACCCUUGUAGUCC